GACGAACGCUGGCGGCGUGCUUAACACAUGCAAGUCGAACGGUAAGGCCCUUCGGGGUACACGAGUGGCGAACGGGUGAGUAACACGUGGGUGAUCUGCCCUGCACUUCGGGAUAAGCCUGGGAAACUGGGUCUAAUACCGGAUAGGACCACUGCCUGCAUGGGUGGGGGUGGAAAGCUUUUGCGGUGUGGGAUGGGCCCGCGGCCUAUCAGCUUGGUGGUGGGGUGAUGGCCUACCAAGGCGACGGCGGGUAGCCGGCCUGAGAGGGUGACCGGCCACACUGGGACUGAGAUACGGCCCAGACUCCUACGGGAGGCAGCAGUGGGGAAUAUUGCACAAUGGGCGCAAGCCUGAUGCAGCGACGCCGCGUGGGGGAUGACGGCCUUCGGGUUGUAAACCUCUUUCAGCACCGACGAAGCGCAAGUGACGGUAGGUGCAGAAGGAGGACCGGCCAACUACGUGCCAGCCGCCGCAGUAA
rnacentral:rRNA from 1 species